rnacentral:rRNA from 1 species
GUGUCAGCAGCCGCGGUAAGACGAAGGUGGCUAGCGUUAUUCGGAUUCACUGGGCAUAAAGCGCGCGUAGGCGGCUCUUCAAGUCGGUGGUGAAAGCCCGCAGCUCAACUGCGGAACAGCCUUCGAUACUGUCGAGCUUGAGUGCAGGAGGGGUGAUCGGAACUCCAGGUGUAGCGGUGAAAUGCGUAGAUAUCUGGAGGAACACCGGAGGCGAAGGCGGAUCACUGGACUGCCACUGACGCUGAGGCGCGAAAGCUAGGGGAGCAAACAGGAUUAGAAACCCCUGUAGUCC